rnacentral:rRNA from 1 species
AGUGAACGCUGGCGGCGUGCCUAACACAUGCAAGUCGAACGAUGAUGGGUAGCUUGCUACCCUGACUAGUGGCGCACGGGUGAGUAUACCAUAGAUAAUGUACCUCUUAGUUCGGGAUAGCCACUGGAAACGGUGAUUAAUACCGGAUACUCCUUCUUGUCUUAAGGCAAGUCGGGAAAGUUUUUUCGCUAAGAGAUCAGUCUAUGUCCUAUCAGCUAGUUGGUGAGGUAAUGGCUCACCAAGGCAAUGACGGGUAUCUGGUUUGAGAGGAUGAUCAGACACACUGGAACUGAGACACGGUCCAGACCCCUACGGGAGGCAGCAGUGAGGAAUAUUGCACAAUGGAGGAAACUCUGAUGCAGCAACGCCGCGUGGAGGAUGACGCAUUUCGGUGUGUAAACUCCUUUUAAGAGGGAAGAUAAUGACGGUACCUCUUGAAUAAGCACCGGCUAACUCCGUGUCAGCCGCCGCAGUAAAAC